rnacentral:ncRNA from 1 species
CACAGGACGAACGAAAACACGGCCCGGUCGGUAGUCCGGGCGCCCUCCCCUUUCGCAGGGUACGGGUCAGUAACCUCCCUCCCAGGGUGUCCGGUUCGUCCUCUCACGCA